CAAUAGCGUAUAUUAAAGUUGUUGCAGUUAAAAAGCUCGUAGUUGGAUUUCGGGGUGGCCUGGCUGGUCCGCCGCAAGGUGAGUACUGGUCAGCCGCCCUUCCUCUCGAAAGCCCCGACUGCUCUUUACUGCAGUGGUCGGGUAGUUCGGGACGUUUACUUUGAAAAAAUUAGAGUGUUCAAGGCAGGCUAUCGCCUGAAUACAUUAGCAUGGAAUAAUGGAAGAGGACCUCGGUCCUAUUUUGUUGGUUUCUAGGGCCGAAGUAAUGAUUAAGAGGGACAGUUGGGGGCAUUCGUAUCUAAUUGUCAGAGGUGAAAUUCUUGGAUUUAUGAAAGACGAACUAGUGCGAAAGCAUUUGCCAAGGAUGUUUUCAUUAA
rnacentral:rRNA from 1 species